AGAACACAGGGUUCAACACCAGGAUUGGUCGCAAGUAGGAAGCUUUCGCCUCUACACUGGGACCCUCGGAAGGUGCCGGCGCAGUGCCUGAAGCUGUAGCGUGUGCCGCGCUCAGGUGCUCAGCUUUUCUAUUGUGUCCUUUAGGAUCUCUGUUGCCUUAUUGAUUUUCUGUCCAGAGGAUCUGUCCAUUGAUGUGAUGUGCAAUUGACCUUGGGAUGCAUAACUUCGUUGGGGGAAUCACUGACAUAUAAUAACUCCACAGCAUGUGGCCCCAAGAACUGCCCUGAAAG
rnacentral:lncRNA from 1 species